CGGUGGGAGUGAGCGGUGGAGAACAGGAUGUUGCUUCCAGCGAUGACAUCCCAAGAGAGGAAACAGCUGCAGAAAGAAGGGACAGAGCCUGAGAUGCCGGGUCUGGAGCUGAAGAUUUGGGAUGAAGCAUGAGUUUGGCACAUGAACGGCCUCGGAAGGAAUUCCAAGGGCAAUUCCGUCUUUCUGCUACCUUUGCCCAGGAGGAGGAAGGUUAGGAUACAAACUCAUCCCAUGGAGAAGAGUGUAUAGCAGCGAGUAUUUGGGAACCACCAGCUCCAGCUGCUGAGCACCUCCCAGUGGAUAAAUCCCACUGUGGGGUAGGAGGUGUCCCAGUCCCUGCCUGAUGCCCCAUGAAGUCUCCAUGGAAGCUGCUCCAUAAAGAAUGGGGCACACCUGGAGGGAGCUGGUUUUCAAUGGAGCCACCAUUUAUGGGUGUGGUUAUGGAAAUUGUUCUCUCUGGAUCCACGGAAGAGGGUUGUUGGGCCUCACGGGAAUGGAGCAGUCAGAGUCUGGAUCAGCCCCUUCCUGAGGGACAAUAUUCCCAAGAUUUGUGGUGGGGAAGGUGGGUGUUUAAAUCAGAUCCUUGCUCCUUGCCUGAUCUCCACAGCCCUGGAAUGUGUCACACCUGGCAGGGUGAGUGGUUGGAUUCCCACCUCGCUCCCAGCUGGAUUUAGGGAGGUGAGAGAAUGUCCAGCUGAGGGGGUCCCUUAUUAAUCCUUUAACUAAACUCCAAAAAAGAGCAAAUCCCAUCAGAUUCCCCAAAAUGCUGCAGGCUCGGAGGAUCCUGGGGCAGGAUUUAGAAUGGUAGGAUUGGAGGGAAUAUCUGGAAGAGGAGGAACACCCUUUUCUUCCCUCUGCUUCUUCCAAGUGUCGCCAAGUGGAAAAGUCCAAAGGGUUUUGUCUUUCCAAGCACUCACUUAAUGGGUUUGGAAUGACUUCGGAACUGUUCCUCUCCGACCAAAAAUAACCCCAAACAUUCCCCGUUCUGCCCACCCCUCCCAGGCCUCAUGACUUUAAAAGGAUUUGUGCCUUGAGAAAACAAACCCGGAUGAAUUCCCAUCGGUGGAGACCAUUCCAAAGGUCUGCGUCUCCUCCUCCCUGCUCCACGGAAAACCACGGCCUUGGCCAGGGCUGGAAGAAGAGCCAUUCAUAAGUUUGAUUUCCCAAAUGGAAUCCUGAGGAGUGCUCUCAGCCAUUCCUAAAUGAGCUCUGUGCGGAUUCUGCUCCCCUGGCAUGUGCCAGGAUAUCCAUGGAGAGCCGCACAAUGUUCUCGGCACAUUUUUGGGGUGGCCUUGUAACCAGGGGAUGUCUGGUAAAAGGAUGGCCUCAGCAGUGGGAUAAUCCACAUCUGGAAAUUCCCAGUUUUCCCAAAAUUUUCCACUCAGUGCUUGGGAGAGAGAUUUUGAGUCAGGAGAUGCGGCCUCACCUUUUUGUCCCUGAAGUUGCGUUUGAAAGGAUGGUUUGGGGGACAGGAAUGGCUUUGGAACUGCUUGAGGAAGGAAAGGAUGGCUUUGGGAAUUCCUUGGGGCUAGAAAGGAUGGGUUUUGGAAUUCCUUGGGGUUUGAGAGGAUGGCUUUUGGAAUUCCUUGAGGGUUAAAAGAGUCGGAAAUGAGGCUCUCUAUGGAUUAAAAGGGUCGUUUUCUGCCAGAGCACAGAAAUCUUCCCCUUGUUUGGUUUUCCUGAAAAUGUUGGCAGAGAAGUGCCCAAAACUCUUCUCUUUGGUGGGUUUUGUUUUGGAGAAUCCCAGAAUGGUUUGGAUUGGGAAGGACCUUAAAGAUCCUUUAGAUCCAAAUCCAUGGGGUGUUCAUAGUUCCGUGGUUUGUAAUUGUUAAAAUAGUGCUGAUUUUCUUCCAUUCUUCUUUGGCACUCCGGGGUUUUAUUGGGAUUUUGAUGAUAAAAUGAGAGCAGAAACAGAUUUGUUUUUUGAGAAAUCACAUUUUUUUUCAGGAAAGGCAGAGGGGAAAAACCAUUUUCAACUCCAAAAUGAUCCCAAAUUCCAGGUUCUACUGAUUAAAUUCUGGUGUUAUCUUGUACAGAUGAACACAACGUACAAAGAUUCCCAGCACCUUGUUCUGGGAAUUUUCCUGGCUGGGAAAAUUUCCUUGCUGUUUUUGGCUGGAGCUCCCUCACCUUCCUCUUCCUGGAUGGUCCUGUAAUUUAUGACUUAAUUUAGGAGCAGGACUUUUCCUGGAGUUUCCUGU